rnacentral:rRNA from 1 species
AGAUUAGCCAUGCAUGUCUAAGUAAAAACAACUUUACUGUGAAACUGCGAAUGGCUCAUUAUAUCAGUUAUAGUUUACUUGAUAGUACCUUACUACUUGGAUAACCGUAGUAAUUCUAGAGCUAAUACAUGCAUCAACUCCCAACUUCUGGACGGGACGCGUUUAUUAGAUAGAAACCAAUGCUCUUCGGAGGUUUUGUGGUGAUUCAUAAUAACUGUGCGAAUCGCAUGCGUCAGCGGCGAUGAAUCAAUCAAGUUUCUGCCCUAUCAGCUUUCGAUGGNAGGGUAUUGGCCUACCAUGGCGUUAACGGGUGACGGAGAAUUAGGGUUCGAUUCCGGAGAGGGAGCCUGAGAAACGGCUACCACAUCCNAGGAAGGCAGCAGGCGCGUAAAUUACCCAAUCCUGACACAGGGAGGUAGUGACAAUAAAUAACAAUGCCGGGCUUUUUCAAGNCUGGCAAUUGGAAUGAGAACAAUUUAAAUCCCUUAACGAGGAUCANUUGGAGGGCAAGUCUGGUGCCAGCAGCCGCGGUAAUUCCAGCUCCAAUAGCGUAUAUNAAAGUUGUUGCAGUUAANAAGCUCGUAGUUGGAUUUCUGGCUGGAGCGAUCGGUCCGCCCCGCNNGGGGUGUGUACUAGCGUCGUCUCCGACCAUCCUUGUGGGAACUGUGCGGCCGUUAACUCGGUUGUAUAUGGNAACACAUCGUUUACUGUGAAAAAAUUAGAGUGUUUAAAGCANGCUUAAGCCGNUGAAUACAUUAGNAUGGAAUAAUAAGAUAANACUUGCGUCAUUAUGUUGNUGGUUUGCGGAUCGAGGUAAUGAUUAAUAGGGAUAGUUGGGGGUAUUCAUAUNUAAUUGUNAGAGGNGAAAUUCUUGGAUUUAUGAAAGAUGAACUUAGGCGAAAGCAUUU